GAGACAGGUCCAGACUCCUACGGGAGGCAGCAGUAGGGAAUCUUCCGCAAUGGGCGAAAGCCUGACGGAGCAACGCCGCGUGAGUGAUGAAGGUCUUCGGAUCGUAAAACUCUGUUAUUAGGGAAGAACAUAUGUGUAAGUAACUGUGCACAUCUUGACGGUACCUAAUCAGAAAGCCACGGCUAACUACGUGCCAGCAGCCGCGGUAAUACGUAGGUGGCAAGCGUUAUCCGGAAUUAUUGGGCGUAAAGCGCGCGUAGGCGGUUUUUUAAGUCUGAUGUGAAAGCCCACGGCUCAACCGUGGAGGGUCAUUGGAAACUGGAAAACUUGAGUGCAGAAGAGGAAAGUGGAAUUCCAUGUGUAGCGGUGAAAUGCGCAGAGAUAUGGAGGAACACCAGUGGCGAAGGCGACUUUCUGGUCUGUAACUGACGCUGAUGUGCGAAAGCGUGGGGAUCAAACAGGAUUAGAUACCCUGGUAGUCCACGCCGUAAACGAUGAGUGCUAAGUGUUAGGG
rnacentral:rRNA from 1 species